rnacentral:rRNA from 1 species
CCUACGGGAGGCAGCAGUGAGGAAUAUUGGUCAAUGGCCGAGAGGCUGAACCAGCCAAGUCGCGUGAGGGAUGACGGCCCUACGGGUUGUAAACCUCUUUUGUCGGGGAGCAAAGAGAGUCACGUGUGGCUCAUUGAGAGUACCCGAAGAACAAGCCUCGGCUAACUCCGUGCCAGCAGCCGCGGUAAUACGGAGGAUGCGAGCGUUAUCCGGCUGUAUUGGGUUUACAGGGUGCGCAGGCGGAGGUGCAAGUCAGUGGUCAAAUUGCGGGGCUCAACCCCGUACUGCCGUUGAAACUGCAUCCCUUGAGUGCGCGAGAAGUAGGCGGAAGGCGUGGUGUAGCGGUGAAAUGCAUAGAUAUCGCGCAGAACUCCGAUUGCGAAGGCAGCAUACCGGCGCGCAACUGACGCUCAUGCACGAAAGCGUGGGUAUCGAACAGGAUUAGAUACCCUGGUAGUC